rnacentral:ncRNA from 2 species
GCGCCUCGCUAGGGGUCCUGGAAACGCAUUUCCGGGUGAGAGAUACCCUUCGUACCUGAUCUGGAUAAUGCCAGCGAAGGAAAGCGCAAAAGUGGUUCU